rnacentral:rRNA from 1 species
AGAGUUUGAUCAUGGCUCAGGACGAACGCUGGCGGCGUGCUUAACACAUGCAAGUCGAGCGGAAAGGCCCUUCGGGGUACUCGAGCGGCGAACGGGUGAGUAACACGUGAGUAAUCUGCCCCUAGCUCUGGGAUAGCUCCGGGAAACCGGGAUUAAUACCGGAUAUGACCACUACGGACAUCUGUUUUGGUGGAAAGAAUUUCGGCUAGGGAUGAGCUCGCGGCCUAUCAGCUUGUUGGUGGGGUAACGGCCUACCAAGGCGACGACGGGUAGCCGGCCUGAGAGGGCGACCGGCCACACUGGGACUGAGACACGGCCCAGACUCCUACGGGAGGCAGCAGUGGGGAAUAUUGCGCAAUGGGCGAAAGCCUGACGCAGCGACGCCGCGUGGGGGAUGAAGGCCUUCGGGUUGUAAACCCCUUUCAGCAGGGACGAAGCGAAAGUGACGGUACCUGCAGAAGAAGCGCCGGCUAACUACGUGCCAGCAGCCGCGGUAACACGUAGGGCGCAAGCGUUGUCCGGAAUUAUUGGGCGUAAAGAGCUCGUAGGCGGUCUGUUGCGUCCGCUGUGAAAACUCGGGGCUUAACCCCGAGCCUGCAGUGGAUACGGGCAGACUAGAGGUAGGUAGGGGAGAAUGGAAUUCCCGGUGUAGCGGUGAAAUGCGCAGAUAUCGGGAGGAACACCGGUGGCGAAGGCGGUUCUCUGGGCCUUACCUGACGCUGAGGAGCGAAAGCGUGGGGAGCGAACAGGAUUAGAUACCCUGGUAGUCCACGCCGUAAACGUUGGGCGCUAGGUGUGGGAUCCUUCCACGGAUUCCGUGCCGCAGCUAACGCAUUAAGCGCCCCGCCUGGGGAGUACGGCCGCAAGGCUAAACUCAAAGGAAUUGACGGGGGCCCGCACAAGCGGCGGAGCAUGUUGCUUAAUUCGACGCAACGCGAGAACCUUACCAAGGUUUGACAUGCAAGGAAAAG